ensembl:processed_transcript
CAGUUUAGCUGAUUAACAAAAGUAGCAUCUCCACAUGACUAUAUAGAUUUAUAUGAUAGAUUUAUAUGAACUUAUUACUGUAAACUGUACCAGUCAUGUAUAAUUAAAAUAGUCAAACAGUUAUUAGUCAAUAACUUACCGAACAUCCAGUCGAACUCAAGGUUUCAUUUCAUCCACAUCAUAACAAACAAUACCCGCCAUUCACCACUAGAUGGAGCCAAACACCCUUUCAUUUUACACAAACCUCCAUCACACGGUGCCAUUGACACGUCUGGCCUCUGCUUCCUCAGAUAAAUGCUGCAAGCGUGUUUAUGUCUCAGUUUCCUCUCCGAAAACGGUGAGCAGGUGAGUCACUGCUAGAGGGACGUCAGGACGCCAGCAUUAGGACGCAUCCCGUUGACUGAUGUUUUUUUUUAUUUUUCCUUCUGAAGCCCGGCUCAGUCCCAUGUGGCCAGGGUUAAAAUGUCUGGCGGUUCGGCAGUCGGAGGCCCAAACACCAAAGAUGUCAAACAGAUGCUGCUGGACUGGUGCCGUGUGAAGACUGAGCCAUAUGAGGUGAGCCGUGACGCUCAUCUGUUUAAAGCGCGAGAGAUGCGCGUGACACCCUUCACCUCGAGACACUGCAGCCUAUAAACAAGUGUCGUUGAACAAACAACUUCAAAAGACCUAAACAGCCUGAUUCUCAAACAGACUUGCGUUUAUCGCAUGGGAUGUCCACCCCGUUAGCUUGACAGGCGGUUAAUUAUCUCAUCCGAAGCGCGGGCUCGAUCGUGUCUAAUUGACACGCGCCUAUAU